rnacentral:rRNA from 1 species
CGAUAAUUUGCCCUUAGGUCUGGGAUAGAGUUGGGAAACUGACUGUAAUACCGGAUAGAAGAUUGAUACUGGAAUGUGCUUUCUUCUAAAGAUUUAUCGCCUAAGGAUAAGUCGGCGGCUGAUUAGGUUGUUGGUGAGGUAAAGGCUCACCAAGCCGACGAUCAGUAGGGGGGAUGAGAGUCCUAGCCUCGAGAAGGGCACUGAGACACUGGCCCUAGCCCUAAGGGGUGCAGCAGGCGCGAAACCUUUACAAUGCACGAAAGUGUGAUAAGGGAAUCCCGAGUGCUUUGCUUUCGGGUAAAGCUUUUGUUAAGUGUAAAAAGCUUGGCGAAUAAGUGGUGGGUAAGACGGGUGCCAGCCGCCGCGGUAACACCUGCGCCACAAGUGGCAAUCAUGUUUAUUGGGCCUAAAGCGUUCGUAGCCGGUCUGAUAAGUUCUUUGUGAAAUUGAUGGGCUUAACCCAUCAACGUGCAAGGAGUACUGUUAGACUAGGGACCGGGAGGAGGUAGGAGUACCCCAUGGGGAGCGGUAAAAUGUUGUAAUCCUCGGGGGACUACCAGUGGCGAAGGCGCCUACCCAGAACGGCUCUGACGGUGAGGAACGAAGGCUAGGGGAGCAAAACGGAUUAGAUACCCGAGUAGUCCUAGCAGUAAACGCUGUGAGCUAUGUGUUGUGCAUUCCUCGAGGAUGUGCAGUGCCUAAGUGAAGAUGUUAAGCUCACCACCUGGGAAGUACGGUCGCAAGGCUGAAACUUAAAGGAAUAGGCGGGGGCUCGCUACAAGGAGUGAAGAGUGCGGUUU